rnacentral:rRNA from 1 species
CCUACGGGAGGCAGCAGUGGGGAAUCUUGCGCAAUGGGCGAAAGCCUGACGCAGCAACGCCGCGUGCGGGAAGAAGGCUUUCGGGCUGUAAACCGCUUUCAGCAGGAACGAAAAUGACGGUACCUGCAGAAGAAGGAGCGGCCAACUAUGUGCCAGCAGCCGCGGUGAUACAUAGGCUUCAAGCGUUGUCCGGAUUUAUUGGGCGUAAAGAGUUCGUAGGCGGUCGAGUAAGUCGGGUGUGAAAAUUCUGGGCUCAACCCAGAGACGCCACCCGAUACUGCUUGACUUGAGUUCGAUAGGGGAGUGGGGAAUUCCUAGUGUAGCGGUGAAAUGCGCAGAUAUUAGGAGGAACACCGGUGGCGAAGGCGCCACUCUGGAUCGAUACUGACGCUGAGGAACGAAAGCAUGGGUAGCAAACAGGAUUAGAUACCCUGGUAGUCCAUGCCGUAAACGGUGGGCACUAGGUGUGGGUUUCUAUUAACGAAAUCCGCGCCGUCGCUAACGCAUUAAGUGCCCCGCCUGGGGGAGGUACGGUCGCGAGAACGUAAACUACAAANAGUAAGUUAGUACGCGUUGAGAGUUGCCGAACGGACGACGACGAGGGAGGAGG